GUGUUAAACACAGCUGGGAGAUGCAGUACAAGGAUCUCGAGACGCGUUUUUUCUUUAAAGCUUUAACUAUUUUUGACCUGACACGAUUUGUUUGCGACGCAACGUAUUUGACGCUUGUCUGACGCAUUAUCAGUGACUUAAAAUAGCGCAGACGGAACGCAAGGAGUUACGCGUCCGGUCUCGAAUGAAGCAUCAGCAGAGAGUUGAGGUCUGAGGAUAUCUAGAAGCAGCAGUGACAGUUCACAGAGCCUAACAAGUCUGUGGUGACCACUAGCAUCUAAAAAUUCAUUUGUAUAGGCCUGUAAAAAGUAUAAAUCCAAUUUAAAAGUUAAUAUUUUUUGUCAGCUGCCCAGUUCAUUGAGGAAAAAUCAUAUUAAACACACAAUAUUUCAUCUUAUUACACCAACAGCUCGGAAUCUGAAUGAACUCGUGAACCUGAUCAGCUCGGUCCAGUGAAUCACUUUUUACAUCGUUUAUAUUUAUACAUGAAGGCCAAUUUUAACUUUAAAAUGUAACUUCCAAAUGCUUGGGAUGAGUAUUUUCCUUUCUUUUUUUUCAGGUCAGAUCAGAUAUAUUUAUAUAAUUAAUUAUUUACAACAGUUAUUGGUUCACUGAGUUCGGACUGAAUGAAUCUGAUUCCUGAGUGAAUCACGUGUGAAUCGGAUUUAUUAAAAAGAUCCGGCUCGAAAGAAUGAUUCGUUCAUUUGUUCAUCCGACAUGAAGUUGGUUAGGGUGGAUGCUCAGUGAUUAAUAACUUACGUUUUAGUCUGUUUUUUCACAAAAAAACUAUUAUAUGGCUUCAGAAGAAUAGUUCAUUAGUCACAUGUGCCACUUUUAUGAUACUCUAAUAGGACUUUGUCAUCAUAAAUUCACUUUAUGCACUCUUGGAAGAAAGCUAUAGAGGUUUGGAAAUGACAUGAGGACUGAGUACUUUCAACACAGGCAGUGUAUUGUUUCCAAGCUGUGGAUCGGAAAGGACCUGAAUGACCUGCUGAACAAGAUGAAGGUGGCCUUCAGGUCUGGGAAGGCUGACGGACUGAACACACGUGGUGCUGAAGAAGAUGCAUUGUGAUCAAAAACACUGCAGGGGAUGAACUGGAGUACAACCAACAGAACAAUGUGGAGCAGGUUAGGAGGAAACAAACACUGCCCGAAAAACAGCCUGGUAACCUUCAUUAGCAAACACAAACUGACUGCAAGUUACUCUGGCUCACUUGGAGAGUGCAUGGAUAAUAUAAAAACAACAAUAUACAGUAAAACAAAAAGCAUAUAUCAAGUUUAUUUUGUUGCUUUGUAAAUCAUAGUCAAGAAACAACUGAAAAAUCACGUUACUCUUGUGAAUGAGUCAUGUUACUUCAUUCAUUGCUUGAGAGUUUUUGUAGACAAAAUAUGGCAAGAAAUGAAUUUUUCAAACUUUACUCUUUUAUCAGCAUAUACACAGAUAUAUCCAUAAAUAAGUAUUUCUACCUUCAACGAAUAAUAUAUUAACUCACAUUUCAUUCCACUAAAAAUUACAACUAAAACAUUUUACAGGUUUCUUUUUUUUUCCUUUCUCCACAACCACAGCUGUUCCAUUUCUUUUCCGUUUCCUACAAACAGAUUUUUCAUAAGCCAUUCUUGUUUUAAACAAUAUGCAGUAAUAA